UUGUAGCCUGCUAUGGUAUAACUUAGUGGCAGACGGGUGAGUAAUGUAUAGGAAUCUACCUAGUAGUACGGAAUAAUUGUUGGAAACGACAACUAAUACCGUAUACGCCCUACGGGGGAAAAAUUUAUUGCUAUUAGAUGAGCCUAUAUUAGAUUAGCUAGUUGGUGGGGUAAUAGCCUACCAAGGUAAUGAUCUAUAGCUGAUCUGAGAGGAUGAUCAGCCACACUGGAACUGAGAUACGGUCCAGACUCCUACGGGAGGCAGCAGUGGGGAAUAUUGGACAAUGGGCGAAAGCCUGAUCCAGCCAUGCCGCAUGAGUGAAGAAGGCCUUUGGGUUGUAAAGCUCUUUUAGUGAGGAAGAUAAUGACGGUACUCACAGAAGAAGUCCUGGCUAACUCCGUGCCAGCAGCCGCGGUAAUACGGAGAGGGCUAGCGUUAUUCGGAAUUAUUGGGCGUAAAGGGCGCGUAGGCUGGUUAAUAAGUUAAAAGUGAAAUCCCGAGGCUUAACCUUGGAAUUGCUUUUAAAACUAUUAAUCUAGAGAUUGAAAGAGGAUAGAGGAAUUCCUGAUGUAGAGGUAAAAUUCGUAAAUAUUAGGAGGAACACCAGUGGCGAAGGCGUCUAUCUGGUUCAAAUCUGACGCUGAAGCGCGAAGGCGUGGGGAGCAAACAGGAUUAGAUACCCUGGUAGUCCACGCUGUAAACGAUGAAUGUUAAAUAUGGGGAGUUUACUUUCUGUAUUACAGCUAACGCGUUAAACAUUCCGCCUGGGGACUACGGUCGCAAGAUUAAAACUCCAAGGAAUUGACGGGGACCCGCACAAGCGGUGGAGCAUGUGGGUUUAAUUCGAUGCAACGCCGAAAAACCUUACCACUUCUUGACUUGAAAAUCAUA
rnacentral:rRNA from 1 species